CAGAAAGUAGUUUAAUGUAGAACAUCAGCUUUGGGAGUUGGAGGUGGGGGUUUGAUUCCCUCUUUUCUGA
rnacentral:tRNA from 1 species